AGCGGAGGAAAAGAAACCAACCGGGAUUGCCUUAGUAACGGCGAGUGAAGCGGCAAAAGCUCAAAUUUGAAAUCUGGUACCUUCGGUGCCCGAGUUGUAAUUUGGAGAGGGCAACUUUGGGGCCGUUCCUUGUCUAUGUUCCUUGGAACAGGACGUCAUAGAGGGUGAGAAUCCCGUGUGGCGAGGAGUGCGGUUCUUUGUAAAGUGCCUUCGAAGAGUCGAGUUGUUUGGGAAUGCAGCUCUAAGUGGGUGGUAAAUUCCAUCUAAAGCUAAAUAUUGGCGAGAGACCGAUAGCGAACAAGUACAGUGAUGGAAAGAUGAAAAGAACUUUGAAAAGAGAGUGAAAAAGUACGUGAAAUUGUUGAAAGGGAAGGGCAUUUGAUCAGACAUGGUGUUUUGUGCCCUCUGCUCCUUGUGGGUAGGGGAAUCUCGCAUUUCACUGGGCCAGCAUCAGUUUUGGUGGCAGGAUAAAUCCAUAGGAAUGUAGCUUGCCUCGGUAAGUAUUAU
rnacentral:rRNA from 1 species